GAUGAACGCUGGCGGCGUGCCUAAUACAUGCAAGUCGAGCGAACAGACGAGGAGCUUGCUCCUCUGACGUUAGCGGCGGACGGGUGAGUAACACGUGGAUAACCUACCUAUAAGACUGGGAUAACUUCGGGAAACCGGAGCUAAUACCGGAUAAUAUAUUGAACCGCAUGGUUCAAUAGUGAAAGACGGUUUUGCUGUCACUUAUAGAUGGAUCCGCGCCGCAUUAGCUAGUUGGUAAGGUAACGGCUUACCAAGGCAACGAUGCGUAGCCGACCUGAGAGGGGGGGACGCACCACGAGAGCGGAACCACGCACCAGACUCCGGCGGGAGGCACAAGGGGGGAUUCGUCCGCAAGGGGAGAAGGCGUGACGCAGCAGCCCGGGGGGGGUGAUAAGGGUCUGGGGAUCGAAAACCUUUUUUAUGGGGGAAAAAAAAAUGUGAAAUAAACAAGGCGCUUUUUGGCGGACAUAAACAAAAAGCCCCCGCCAAACUCGGCC
rnacentral:rRNA from 1 species